CGGACGGGUGAGUAAUGUCUGGGAAACUGCCCGAUGGAGGGGAUAACUACUGGAACGGUAGCUAAUACCGCAUAACGUCGCAAGACCAAAGAGGGGAACCUUCGGGCCUCUUGCCAUCGGAUGUGCCCAGAUGGGAUUAGCUAGUAGGUGGGGUAACGGCUCACCUAGGCGACGAUCCCUAGCUGGUCUGAGAGGAUGACCAGCCACACUGGAACUGAGACACGGUCCAG
rnacentral:rRNA from 1 species